UAGGGAAUCUUCGGCAAUGGACGAAAGUCUUACCGAGCAACGCCGCGUGAGUGAAGAAGGUUUUCGGAUCGUAAAACUCUGUUGUUAGAGAAGAACAAUGACGUUAGUAACUGAACGUCCCCUGACGGUAUCUAACCAGAAAGCCACGGCUAACUACGUGCCAGCAGCCGCGGUAAUACGUAGGUGGCAAGCGUUGUCCGGAUUUAUUGGGCGUAAAGCGAGCGCAGGCGGUUUCUUAAGUCUGAUGUGAAAGCCCCCGGCUCAACCGGGGAGGGUCAUUGGAAACUGGGAGACUUGAGUGCAGAAGAGGAGAGUGGAAUUCCAUGUGUAGCGGUGAAAUGCGUAGGUAUAUGGAGGAACACCAGUGGCGAAGGCGGCUCUCUGGUCUGUAACUGACGCUGAGGCUCGAAAGCGUGGGGAGCAAACAGG
rnacentral:rRNA from 1 species